rnacentral:rRNA from 1 species
GAUGAACGCUGGCGGUGUGCCUAACGCAUGCAAGUCGAACGGCGACGCGCUAUCAGCUUUGGUGGGUGUGGAUGAGUGGCGAACGGGUGAGUAACACGUGAGUAACCUGCCCCCUUCUGCUGGAUAACCGCAUGAAAGUGUGGCUAAUACGGGAUAUUCUCGGCCUGUCGAAUGAUGGGUCUGUGAGAGCUCUUGUUAUGGUGGGGGAUGGGGUCGCGGCCAAUUAGCUUGUUGGUGGGGUGAUGGCCUACCAAGGCAGUGGCGGGUAGCCUGGCUGAGGGGGUGGCCGCACACGCUGGGACUCAGACACGGCCCACACUCCUACGGCAGCCAUCAGUGGUCUAUGUUGCGGGAUGGAAGCAUGCCCUAUCCAUCGACACCGCGUGAGGAUGGACGCCUGCGUGUUGUGAACCUCUUUCGCCAGUGAAGCACGGCUGCCUCGUUUGUCGGUGUGUUGACGGUAGCUAGAUAAGAAGCGCCGGCUAACUACGUG